rnacentral:lncRNA from 1 species
ACAUCAACCAGGGGCCCUUGAAGCUGUGUCCCUGGACACAGUUUCCCUGCCCCAAGCCCUGGCACAUUCGGCCCAGGCUUGGCAAAAACUCCUUGUCCUCCAAGGACUCGGCUGCACCAGCCACUCAAAUAAAUUGAUGUUCCCAUCUCUGCUGACUCAUGGAUGAGAACAUCGGGGCUCCUGCCAAUGGCCACACACACCCCCAGCCCCACCAGGGAAUAGCCCUGCACCCUGCAGGGACAAUGUCAUGAGCCUGAGAAGCCACCAGCUUCCCCUACUCCGUGAGCACCAAACUCCAGCCUGCUUGAGCUGUUGGGGGCCCCCUGCCUUGGCACUGUUCCUAAUAGAGCCUGGGAUCUUGUUUGAGCCCUACAAGGAAGCAAGGACCCCAGGCAUCAUCUUACAAACAAGGAAACUGAGGCUUGGGGAGGGGAGGAGCUUGUGGGUCCAAGUUCCCUGCCGGCUGUAACACUGUAGGAGUCAGAACCUGGCCAAUGCCUGGAGGGGGCUUCCUUGGCCAGGGCUGAGCCUCAGGCUGCCCCCACCCCAUCUCUCCCCCACUCCCAUUGCAUAUGGAAACCAGAAAAUCAAUCCUAAGACCCCCAGCCAAACGAACGGACCCUCGUCUUGGCUAAGGACAUUCCAAAGUGAACCUGAAAAGCGAGUUCAGGCCACGGUGGGAAGCGGGAGACGGACAUACCUUGUUAUCCCCCCUCCCUUUUGGAAUGACUGGCAGAACAGUCUUUCAGUCUGAUAAUAAACAUCUCCCAUCCAUUCUCUCUGCAGUCUGCUGCCUGGAGGCUUCAUCUGCAUGAUGAAACCUCGGUCUGCACAACCCAUUAUCUUAACCCAGACAUUCCUAUCUACCGACAAUAACUCUUUCAACCAACGGCCAAUCAGAAAAUCUUCGAAUCCACCUAUGACCUGGAAGCAUCCCCGCUUCCGGUGGUUCCGCCUUUCUAGGCGUAACCAAUGUACAGCUUAUGUGUAUUGAUUGAUGCCUUGUGUCCCCCUAAAAUGUAUGAAACCUAGCUGUGGCCCGACCACCUUGAACACAUGGUCUGAGGGUCUCCUGGGGCUGUCAUGGGCCCCCGGCCAUUCAUCUUUGGCUCAGAAUAAAUGUCUCAAACACUUUACGGAGUUUGACUUUUUGUUGAUAUAUACGUCCAGGGAGGCCUCACUGCAGACUUACUGGGCCGCAGGGGCCUCAAGGACCAAUAUGGCCCCUCCUCUUGGAACAGACGGCCCCAAGCCAAGAGGACUUGGG